AGAGUAGAAAAAACUUAGAUUUCACUCGGCAUCCACCUAUCUCCCGAGCCCCUCUCACACGAAACUAUCUCACACCCUCUCCUUCCAACUUUGUGACGGGAUCUCCUCUAGGGUUCGCACGAAUCUGGGAAGAUCACUAUCGCUCGUGCCCUCUCCUCUGCUCUACCCGCCUCUCUAUACGCCUUCUUCAUCACCCUCUCCGUUGUUUCCUCUGGCGUAUGAGAGCUCCGUGAGGCUAUCGACGGCGCCGACCAUACCUGAUCCCAUGGUCGUCACAUUGUCCUCUUUGUCGAUGAGAUCCACCCAUUCUCCAAGUCCCAGCAAGACUCCUUCCUCCUCGCCAUCGAAAAUGGUUCCAUCAUUCUCAUUGGUGCCACCACCGAGAGAACCCUAAUCUCAUUUUCCAAUUGCCUGAAAUUUUCUCGCCAGCGACGCCAUCACAGCCUCGAAAGCUCGCAUCCAUGUGAGCUCUGUCGUUCGUGGGUUCGCGAGUGUUGCUACCUACCGCUUGUAGCCUCGCGUGCGCUGUUGUCUACCACUCGCGAGUGUUGCCGCCUGCUGAUCGCGAUGGACAAAUUUCUAUGGCGGCUUUCAUGCUAUCUUUAGGAUCCGUUGUAUUCCCAAUUUUGGAUGUGCUGCGUAGUAUCUUUGAUACACAAAACUUUUUUUCUGCCUUACUUUUAAUAGAACUAAAGUCAUAAUUUGGUUGUUGCAUGUCAUAUGAUUCUUCUUGAUCUUUGGUGGAAUCCAACUAUUGAAGAGCAAGCCAUUGACCGAGUGCAUCGAAUUGGACAAACCCAUCCAGUGAAGGUGUCACGAAUAACUAUAAAAGAUACAAUUGAAGAUCAUAUAUUGGCUCUUCAGGUUCACCUUCAUGCAAUGCUCUCUCUUGUUGGUACUUGCCGUUAUGAUAGCUCUUUAGGGGCUUAGAUGAUGCAAUGACAGGAGAGGUUAAAAAUUAUAUGCCAAUACUGCAGACAGAAGUUGAAAACCUAGCCUCGUAAGAAUGCCAGUUGGAUGAGUGCAUCAGGAAAAAUGCAAGAAAGCAUGAGUGUGCUCACUGAAGAAGAAAGUAAUCAAAAGCUGCUUUACCUGAUCGAAGAUGACAUCAAAAGACUACCCUACUUUUAGGUUUUUUACAUGUUUCCCUUGUUUAUUUUAAAACAAAUAUUAAAUUUUGGAUGUUAGUAAAGAUUACAGGAGCAGCAACUAUAUGUUAUGUGGUACUGCAUCUGAACCUCAGGGGUGUGACUGAGAAGUACUUCAACAAAGAACUAUCAAGAAGACUUUAAGCGAGAAGAUGGUUAAAGUCAAUUUUUUCUUGCAUUUGCCCACAUAUGUUGCUAACAUCUACAAAUGAAAAUAAUGUUUUGUUUCAUGCAAAAUUUCAGGCUGCUUUACCUGAUCGAAGAUGACAUCAAAAGACUACCCUACUUUUAGGUUUUUUACAUGUUUCCCUUGUUUAUUUUAAAACAAAUAUUAAAUUUUGGAUGUUAGUAAAGAUUACAGGAGCAGCAACUAUAUGUUAUGUGGUACUGCAUCUGAACCUCAGGGGUGUGACUGAGAAGUACUUCGACGAAGAACUAUCAAGAAGACUUUAAGCGAGAAGAUGGUUAAAGUCAAUGAGUAAAGAACAUUCAAGUCAAGAGGAUAAGUAGCAUCUAUCAAGAUCUUUUAAGUUCAUGCAAUAAGUUGUAAUCGAUAGGAGUAGUUUUGAGUGUCUCCUAAUUAAAAUUUCUUUGUAUGCGAGUAAUUAUGUUUAUUAUAGAAGUAUAAGAAUGAUAUUUUGUAUAUUUAUCUUGGUUGUUUAUUUAAUAAUAUGUUGUUGAUUGAAGUA